AUUGAACGCUGGCGGCAGGCCUAACACAUGCAAGUCGAGCGGAUGGAGGGAGCUUGCUCCUGGAUUCAGCGGCGGACGGGCGAGUGAUGCCUAGGAGUCUGCCUGGUAUUGGUGGAUGACGUCCUGAAACGGGCGCGAAUACCGCAUACGUCCUGAGGGUGAAAGUGGGGGGUCUUCGGACCUCACGCUAUCAGAUGAGCCUAGGUCGGAUUAGCUAGUUGGUUGGGUAAGGGCCUACCAAGGCGACGAUCCGUAACUGGUCUGAGAGGAUGAUCAGUCACACUGGAACUGAGACACGGUCCAGACUCCUACGGGAGGCAGCAGUGGGGAAUAUUGGACAAUGGGCGAAAGCCUGAUCCAGCCAUGCCGCGUGUGUGAAGAAGGUCUUCGGAUUGUAAAGCACUUUAAGUUGGGAGGAAGGGCAGUAAGUUAAUACCUUGCUGUUUUGACGUUACCAACAGAAUAAGCACCGGCUAACUUCGUG
rnacentral:rRNA from 1 species